AACGAACGCUGGCGGCAGGCUUAACACAUGCAAGUCGAACGCCCCGCAAGGGGAGUGGCAGACGGGUGAGUAACACGUGGGAACAUGCCCAAAGGUACGGAAUAUUCUCGGGAAACUGGGAGCAAUACCGUAUGUGCCCGAAAGGGGAAAGAUUUAUCGCCUUUGGAUUGGCCCGCGUUGGAUUAGCUAGUUGGUGGGGUAAAAGCCUACCAAGGCGACGAUCCAUAGCUGGUCUGAGAGGACGACCAGCCACACUGGGACUGAGACACGGCCCAGACUCCUACGGGAGGCAGCAGUGGGGAAUCUUGGACAAUGGGCGCAAGCCUGAUCCAGCCAUGCCGCGUGAGUGAUGAAGGCCCUAGGGUUGUAAAACUCUUCGUGGGGGACGAUAAUGACGGUACCCCAAGAAGAAGCUCCGGCUAACUUCGUG
rnacentral:rRNA from 1 species